rnacentral:lncRNA from 1 species
GAUUACGGCGACCCUCUCGGGCUCCUCCGCAGGCGGGCAAUGCCGCGAACUGGUUCAGCAGCAUGGAAGGACAUCCACGGGCUUUUCGCACCCAGAUGGUCCUGCUUGAGCUGCUCUGGGGGGACCGAGAGGAAGGCAGCAGAUAAAUGUGCAUCAGGAAAUGCUGUUGAACCUUUCUGGCUGUAGUGAAGAGCUAAGAGCAUCAGUCCUGGCUCGUCUCUCAAAGAGGGAAAGAAAGCUUGCGAUAUUUGGAGAUGCAUUAGGUUCUACACUGCCUUCCCCGCUACUACCAAUCCCACUCUGACCGGGAGCAUGUAGAGGAGAGGAACUGUGUUUGUUUGCAUUUCCCCGUUUCCUCUCCCUGCUUCCUGAUAAACAACCUAUUUCAUUGCCUGUGCUAAGCUUCUCCUUGUCUUUUUGCCUUACGCGGCUCUAUUGAUUUUCGAACCCUAUAAAUACGAACUAAAGAAUCGCCUUCAGCAUUGCAGUUUUAACUGUGUUCCAUAGGUAACUUUCCUCCCCUCGUAGCUCAGCCCUGCGUUACGUAGACGUCCUUGGCAUUUUAUUCCGAGGCUGGCCCUAGACGUAUGGAUUACUUGUUUUCUACUAACGUACAUUUAGCAUACUGACUAUGAACCAGAAUACAAAAAGCCUGAUAGAUCAAAAGUAUUUUGUAUGGGCAGAAGAACAGGAGGUGAAUAUAUAACGCUUUUGUUCAUCAAUAACUCUUUGGC